UAGGGAAUCUUCGGCAAUGGACGAAAGUCUGACCGAGCAACGCCGCGUGAGUGAAGAAGGUUUUCGGAUCGUAAACUCUGUUGGUAGAGAAGACGUUGGUGAGAGUGGAAAGCUCAUCAAGUGACGGUAACUACCCAGAAAGGGACGGCUAACUACGUGCCUG
rnacentral:rRNA from 1 species